rnacentral:rRNA from 1 species
UACGGAGGGUGCAAGCGUUAUCCGGAUUCACUGGGUUUAAAGGGUGCGUAGGAGGGCAGGUAAGUCAGUGGUGAAAUCUCCGAGCUUAACUCGGAAACUGCCGUUGAUACUAUCUGUCUUGAAUACCGUGGAGAUGAGCGGAAUAUGUCAUGUAGCGGUGAAAUGCUUAGAUAUGACAUAGAACACCAAUUGCGAAGGCAGCUCGUUACACGAAUAUUGACUCUGAGGCACGAAAGCGUGGGGAUCAAACAGGAUUAGAUACCGGUA